AGAAAUUGUAUUAGAUAUUGGUAACUUGUUUUAACAACUUCUCAACAUUACCUAUAAGUUGACACAACAUACACACCCCCUCUUUCUCUUGGACAUAUGCUGGACACAUAGGACAUAUACACGGCACCCACAAUUCCCCUCCCCCAUGAAAAUCACACAGACACACCCAACCCAUGGUUGGACCUCAGGACAAAGAACUCUCAGGAACCAAUGGAACGUGGACACCAGGCCUGAUCAGGACUACCCAAGACCCAGAUCGACCAACCGGAAGGCCGGACUCGCAGAUCUACCUACUUUGCUUGUUGACUAUAUAGUACUGAACAUUUCUGGAAACUGCCUCUUUCCCGGACGAUUCACUAGGAGUCAGACUGAAAGAGCCUUGCUGCAAGAUUUUACUAAGAUAUCUUUACAUGUAAUUAAACUGCCUUAUUAUAAAAUUAUCCACCUCGUCCUAUUGUCUCCUCUUGUUCUCCUGUCAACAGUAAACGUUUUACUAACAGACUUGGAAGCAGAGGAUGGUCAAAACAUAUUUGUAUACGGCCCAAUAGAAAAUCCAUCGGACAGGAGACGAGAGGGAGAAAUUUAUCCAGAGGAGAGGUGACCUUUUCGAGGGAGAAUCGCGAUUCAACACACACAGGAAACUGAUCAAAGAGCUCGAAACUAAAGAGGUGAGCAGAUGCCCGUUUGACCAAAAUCUGUAUAUUGUAUUAUAGCCAAUAUCUAAAUUCAAUGAUCAGGAGUACUGUGGUGAGUGAAUUGUUGCUAAAUUUAUGUGGAAUUGUUUAGAAUUUAAGGCAUUGUGUACAGAUAUCUAAGUAUUAAUAGGUCAAAGACUUAUUCACAUAGUCUGGCACUACGCGGUAUGCUGAUCGAGUAGGUGUACAGUGAAGAAUAAGCUUUAUAACGAUUCACAUAGUCGGGCCAUAUUUGACAGUCGAUCAGGUAGGGGUUACCGUGAAGAAUCCAUAAUUAAAAGAUGGGAUCCAAAUAGCCGGGCAGUAGUUAGAUUUGGCAAAUCAGCUAGGUGUUACCGUGAAGACCCAUAAAAAAAAAAAAAAUAUAUAUAUAUAACGAUUCACACAGUCGGGCCAUAUCUGGCAGUCGAUCAGAUAGGGGUACCGUGAAGAAUCCAUAAUUAAUCUAAUGUGGUUUCAAAUAGUCGUGCAGUAGCUAUACUUAGCUAGGUGUUACGUGAGAAAUCUAAUGUGGUUUCAAAUAGUCGUGCAGUAGCUAUACUUAGCUAGGUGUUACGUGAGAAAUCUAAUGUGAUAUUGCAUGUGUAAGUUGUGUUGUAAUUGUAUGUGUAAGUUGUGUUGUCGCAAUGUGGGGGAUUGAACGUUCCACGAGACCAAUUGCUACUAACUAGCCAUAUGCUAGUUGAGGCUGUGCUAAAGUGACCGCCGUGUCGAUGUGUAUAUAUUGCUGUGAAGCAACUAUUUUCUGCUGAUGAGUUGACCGGAUUUUUCCCUCUCCUGCUGUUGAUAAAUCCCUAAGGGUGAGAAUCAAUUUGAAAAUUAUUAUAGAAGCGCGUGAAUUACUAGUAUAUUGUCCCUGAAGGAAAUUUCUGAAAUGUUUUGGCAAAGUAUUUAAUUAAUCGGAAAAAGUUCAAAUUAAAUCGGAAAAGUUAAUAGAAAUAAUAUCUUUCGAAUUAUAUAUCAUAUAAUUGCCAUUCCAAUUAUAUCAGGAGCGCCUGAAUUACUAGUAUAUUGUCCCCAAAGGAAACUUCUGAAAUAUUUUGCCAAAGUAUUUAAUUAAUUAAAUUAGCGAAAAGCAAUAAUGUUGUUUUUUUAUUAAAAGUACCUAAAACUGUCAUUCCAAUUAUAACAGGAGCGCGUGAAUAUAUUCGUAUAUUGUUUCAAAGAGAAUAUAGCUGAUAUAUUGUUGGAAAACGAAAAUAAUCCAUCGAAUACACGGCAAUAAAAUCCUUUGUCCACACGAGUCGGACACGAGAGUGAGGGAAGAGAGGGGAAGAAAAAUACAUCGCUGGUUUCGAUCAGUGACGGGCUAAAGUAUACAAAGAUAAUAAUAGACCCAGACAUAGCUUAACGACAAAAUGACCACGACUAUCGUCCCCAAACACAAAUUCAACGAAUAUUUAGAUCAGAGAAUAAAAGACAGAGCAGGCGGGAAAUUACACUACAAACCCGUUAAAAAGAUUUGGGAGGAAGUAAGGGAUAGGAUGGACUCAAACAGGUUUUCUUAGUGGAGUCGCCCCAUCAAAAGGGCAACUCCUCAUUAUGGAGAAAGAAUUGGAGGAAGCAGUGAAGCAAGGGAUAGAAUGUGAAGUUGAUAAGAAUAAGAGUCACUUAUAAAAAAAAAAAAAAAAAAAAAGAAGGGACAAAGCAAAGGGAAAAGGCACAGGCUGAGAUGAGAAUAGGUUUAUGGGCAAUUGAGGAAAUUAGGAAAGCUCUCCCUUACCGGAAACCUGAUACGAUGGGAGUGGUCACUGGAGCACCAACUGACACCAAAGAGGGCAGGCCCAAUAAUAAUGAUGGCCCACCUACCACCACAGCAACCCCAUCGGCCCCCACCCAUCUAUACCCAGAACUGCCACAGGGAGAGAAAAAAGCACCACCUCCCUAUUUUCAAAAUCCAUUCACUCAGCAAUCACCUUCCCCCUUCCAGGGCAUGUCUGACGAAUAUGCUCCAUGGCCCUGAAGCUGCUCACCACUAACCUACACUCAUCAUUGACCUGGACUACUGAAGCAUCAAAGGCUUUUGCACUCUUGAAAACAGAUCUCUAAGUGGCAGUAGCCUUAACAGCACCUGACUAAAAAAAAUAAGUUCCAUCUGGAUGUUUCUGAAAAGGAGGGAUUUACAUCAUCCAUCCUUUUCCAGAACCUAGAGGGGGAGAGAAGAGUGUUGAGGUAUCACUCCUCCAAACUGGACUACAUUGAAGAAGGACAAACCACAUGUUCCAGGUAUGUGGCUGCAGUGGCAAAAGCUAUUGGAAAAACAGCCCACAUGAUAAUGUGCCAUCCAUUGGAAAUCCACACCCACCAUGGGGUUGCAGAAUAUCUGAUGAGCAAAGAAUUCACGUUCAGCGCUGAAAGGAAAACGAAAAUCCAGAAUAAAUGCACACAAUCACACAUCACAUUUGUCAACACUGACAAAAACAUGGCAGACGCACUCAAUGCUGAAGGUCUACCCCACUCCUGUGCAGAAAGAGCUGCACAGGAACUGAAACGGAGACCUGACCUGGGGAAUGAACCACUCACCAACACACACAGAUAUGGGGAAAGACAAUGUGACUAAUGGAAAAAGGUACCUGUUAGUUAUGGUAGACAGGUUCUCUAAAUGGGUUGAGGCAAUACCAACAGCAGGGGAGGAUGCAAAAUAGGUCAUUAAGUGGCUGCAAACCAAACUCAUGUGUGUUGUUUAAUGACAAACGCUCCAUGUACCAAUAGGGUCGGAUGUGUAAAUGUCAACUGAUUAAUGGAUGUUGUUUAAUGAUGGGGUUAGUGUACAGGCCACAAUCUCAUAAGUCUCGUGGAACGCGCCAAUCAAAUGUAUGUGCAGGUUUGAAGUUGAUUUGGGUUGAAGUCCUGCCCCUGGCGUUGCUGGCCAUGAUAGCCUCUCCAGGUGCAGGCACCCAUCUCUCUCCUCAUGAGACAAUGGCUGGAGGAGUCAUGCUUGGUCCACCAAGGAAGGGAGGUCAUAUGCCCGCCCUUGAUGUACAACAAAUUGUAAUGUUUGAUAAUUGACGGAACAUUCUGCAGCUCUCUCCACACAGAUUCAUAAGGUCCAACGGGGAAGCAGAAGGGAGAUCUGGCACACGGAAGUUAAAAUUGGUGACUGGGUGGGGUUAAUGUCCACAAGAGAAAGUGGCUAGAACCCAGGUGGAAUGGACAGUACGAAGUGAGGGAGGUUACUUCACACUCAGUCCAGGUCAAAGGUAAAUCAGGCGCACCUUGGCACCACCUCACACAUUGCACUCCAGCCCCAAUCCCUUCUAGAACACUGACAGAAGUCAGAGCUGAUUUAAACAGCUUAAAUUCGAUUCCAAAUGAAGACAUUCCUGACACAGGUGAUGCGGUAUCAAACUCCGCCUCCCCUGAUAAAGGAACCUCGCCCAGUUAGAGGGAUAUUUCUCCCUCCCUGGGCAAGGCUAGGGAUAUCUGGCCCCUUAUUUGACAUUUGGGGUGUCCCUGGGCACUUUCACAUGGUUAAUAGAAUAAACUGUAACCGGAUCCCCAUGGAUGUAUGUCACGGACACUCUAGUCUAACUAGGUAAUAAUAGAUUAAAAAAUUAAAAAAAUCAAAAAUUUAGAAAACAAUAGUUAAAAUAAGAAACUAAUAUGGCUCAAAUUGAGAAGGUUGAAUGAGAGUGGGUGGAGAGCUAUGCAGAGAAUGGACAGAAGAUGGCAGUAUUGUAGCACCCAAAUGGUCUCCCAGCCGACUGGUUGAAUGCUGGUGACAUAAUUUUGUUUUUUGGAGUAAACAUUAAGGUUAAGGGUUUCCGUGUACCCAGAGAUAAGAUAUCUUAAAAGAAUACACUCAUAUGGGAAUAGGAGUUUUACUUUCUGAGUUUUAUUUAGGCAAGGGACUUUGAGAAGAUAAAGGGUUCUUUUGGUAUGUUUAGAUAUGGAACACGAAUGUAGGUGUAACAUUUUGACCUGUUUUCUGUUUCCAUUGCAUUUUCCGGCGACUUGAUCACUCGCGGGGAAAUGUGGUGAGAAUAAUGAGAUUGUGUCAUUUGGGAUACUAGUUUUGAGGUAAAUUGAUUAUAAUAGAGUUUAUAACUCUUGACCAUAAGGUAAGCAUUUGUAUUGGCCAUUAGAAGAUAGAGAUAGGUUAAUUAAGGUUAUGUUAGGACUUUAAAGAUUGACACUAUAAGACCUGUUGUUAUUUUUAAAUCCAUGCAGAUAAAGUCAAAACAGUGAAACACUUAGUUAAUAUUGUAAAGGAACACAUAGAAAAAGGCAGACAGAUGGGUCUACCCCGCACUGUUCAGACCUUGAAGGUUUGAGAGCAGAGUGGGGAGGGUGGACCAGGAAAUGAGCAAGGUAGGCUGUGAAAUAAGAUAGGAGAAAGGGGUUAACAUAUAUAAGCAGCACAGAUACAUUUCAAAGUAGAUAAGCCACUUGACAGAGAAUUGGAAAAGAAUAGAUAUGAAUGUACGCCCAAGGGAGAAUUGGAUAUGCGGGGAAUAAAAGGGACGUUCCUAGAAUAUGAUGUACUAAGUUAUUAUUUAGAGUAGGUAAGGUUGAUACCUGGCCAGAGCCAGGUAUCAAACGAAGGAGGGUACAUUGUGGACUAGGAAAGGAUGGGGCCUAUUGGAUAAUAAACUUAUUUAAAAUUAAACAUUUAUAGCUAAAAAAUUAGGCAUAGAAGUUAAAUAUAUAAUCAGAAAGAACAAAUGAGGAACUGUUUGCUAACCAGACCUGUAUGUCCAAGAGUUUAUACAUUGCAGGUGAAUUAAGGGAGAAGGUGAAUCACUCGACCUGGGGGCAUAUCGCACUUGGAGGGUGAGACACACUGACACUGCCGAAUGAUCACAGAGUUAAGGAGAAGAACUGUUGCUAAUAAAGCUCAGGGGUCAACUCCUUAAUGAAGAAUUCCCUGACCCCGACCUUUCCUCACUGUGUUCGUUCAUAGAAGUGAAAGUGUUGCUUGAUCUCUGGCUGAUGAUGUGUUCUCUGGGAGAGGGUGGGGUUUUACAGGACUGCUUGUAGUCCUGAGCUGUCUGAUCAGGAUACGAUGGGGAUGAUACCAUCGCAGUACUGCCGGAACCACCACCAGUUCCAACGGACCAGGGUUCAGCCGGCCUCCUCCACCACUUCAAGACCAAGUCCCACGCCAUCACCUAAGCUCUCCAAUCUGGUACAGAUAAUAAAUAUAAAAGACAUCUCAGAUAGUGAACAUUUGGGGACUGAAACUGAGUAUGAGGAAAGGGAGAAUAUGUGGUUGACCUACAAAACACUUAAUAGAAAGGACUGUGUCGUAUGUGGACAUGCCAGACCUAUUCUGGCUGCUCACCCAUUUGUCCUAAGUAAUGGGGAAGGUUGGAUGUGCAUAUUGGAAAAGUUCGAGCCAAAUUCAACCCUGUGUAAAACUCUGAGUCUUGUGUUCCCAGUGGUCCCUCCCCAGAAGGUACCGUGGGGAGUUAAGGCAUAUGGGGGAUAUAACAGCUGUAUCCCUGGCACAGGUAGCGGUAUGGACUAUGGAGGGCUCCCUGCUACUACCUGCAUCACUAAUACCACUAGGAACUAGAGGUGUUGCUGAUGUAUGGUGGAUGUGUGGACCUGCCAGGCGAUUAACCCCAUUUUUGAAAGGAAAUUGUCGUUGCUCAUGUGGUUUGGCCAGUCUGAUACCACCAUUGCCUAUUAUUAUAGCUAAUCAACUUCUGGGAGCUACACAGGACACAGAGGCUUGGGACCAACCCAGGAGACGGCAGAAACGUGACGCUCCUUGGUCCGAGGGUACAGAUAACAUGCACACCAACCUGUUGGGGGUCCCAAUAGGGGUCCCCCACGAAUUCCAGACAUUAACCAGGAAUGAUGGCCUGUGGCAUCUGAUGCCCAUCAUUGGCCCAGCUAUUGUUGAUGUUAAAACAAAAGGUCUGGAUCAAUUAUAAACACACCCACACAGGACUUACAGGGAUGGCUGAACAAUUGGAUGCUGCCUCACAAACCAGUAGACACAAUAGACUAACACUGGACAUAAGUCUGGCCAACAAGGGAGGUGUAACAGUGUUGCACGUUUGUUCCUAACAAUACUAGUCCGGAUGGGAGCAUUUCAAAAGCUCUGAGUGGGUUGGCAAGGUUAACAGUGGAGAUGAAGGGUCUUGCAGGUGUGGAGGAGAGUGGACUGUUCCCCUGGCUGGGUGGUUGUUUGGUAAGUACACUGCAAUGAUGAUUACUGGAUUUCUGACACUAGUUGUUGUUUUUCAUUUCUGUGUUGCCUGUAUCAUACCUUGUUUGAAGAAGUUUGUUACAGAUGUGUAAGGAGCCUCUAGUAUGAUGCCGUUGCUUGAUGCUCCAGUUGGAGAGGCUGAUACGAAAACGAGCUUCCGCAGGAGAGUGGGCUGACAGAGGAGGACCCUUGGUUUGCUGUAGUUGAUGUUGAAUGAAUAAAAAGUGAUGUUUGUCCUCCCUGUUGUGAAGGUUUGAAGUUCCCGGGUGGCGACGAGCCCACCUGGUACAGGUUGCAUAGAGGGAUGGACCUGAGGGUUUAACAUAUUCUCGUUUUUUGGUUUACUAAUGUGUGGUUGGCCACUCCAGGGGUAGUUAUUGGAGUGGUCUCCUUUUUGGUCCUUGCUCAAUUACGACUCAACUUACAUUGAUGCUAUUGGUCUCCCUAGGGGGUGCCAGAUGAAUAUAAACUGGCGGACCAAGUGACAGCUGGGUUUGAAUCAUCAUUUUGUUGGUGGUGUACAGUUAAUAAAAAUGUGGACAGAAUUAACUACAUUCAUUUUAAUGUCCAGAAACUGGGCAAUUGGACUCAACAAGGCUUCGAGGCGGUCCAUGGACAAUUGGCAGCUACGUCCUUGAUGGCAUUUCAAAAUAGAAUCGCGGUUGAUAUGUUAUUGGCUGAACGGGGGGGGGGGGUCUGUGCAAUGUUUGGUGAACAGUGUUGUACUUUCAUUCCCAAUAACACAGCUACGGAUGGGAGUCUAACUGUAGCAUUGGAGGGACUUCGUACCCUUAAUGGUAAGAUGAAACAGCAUUCUGGAGUGGACACUACUAUGUGGGACUCAUGGAUGGAUGCUUUUGGUAAAUAUAAGACGCUGGUUUCCUCCAUCCUAGUAUCAAUUUCUGUUUUUGCGGCCAUUCUUGUACUUUGUGGAUGCUGUUGCAUACCAUGUGCGCGCACGCUUGCUAGCCGUGUUAUAACUGCCGCCAUAGACCCUAAUCAGGAAAGGGCCCAAAUGUUCCCAUUGCUUGAUGAUGGGGAAGCUGGACCUGUCUAUCUAUUUGAGGACUAAGAUACUUUUAUGUCACGUCUCUUGUGAGACGUGAAGAGAGGGAAUCAAAAAUUUGUCUUCUGACAAAUUUUAUCCCAUAGCUUUGUCUUUUUAUACUUUUAUGUCACGUCUCUUGUGAGACGUGAAGAGAGGGAAUCAAAAAUUUGUCUUCUGACAAAUUUUAUCCCAUAGCUUUGUCUUUUUAUACUUUUAUGUCACGUCUCUUGUGAGACGUGAAGAGAGGGAAUUAAAAAUUUGUCUUCUGACAAAUUUUAUCCAUUAGUUUUGUCUUUUAUAUACUUUUAUGUCACGUCUCUUGUGAGACGUGAAGAGGGGGAUUUGUAAGAAAUUGUAUUAGAUAUUGGUAACUUGUUUUAACAACUUCUCAACAUUACCUAUAAGUUGACACAACAUACACACCCCCUCUUUCUCUUGGACAUAUGCUGGACACAUAGGACAUAUACACGGCACCCACAAUUCCCCUCCCCCAUGAAAAUCACACAGACACACCCAACCCAUGGUUGGACCUCAGGACAAAGAACUCUCAGGAACCAAUGGAACGUGGACACCAGGCCUGAUCAGGACUACCCAAGACCCAGAUCGACCAACCGGAAGGCCGGACUCGCAGAUCUACCUACUUUGCUUGUUGACUAUAUAGUACUGAACAUUUCUGGAAACUGCCUCUUUCCCGGACGAUUCACUAGGAGUCAGACUGAAAGAGCCUUGCUGCAAGAUUUUACUAAGAUAUCUUUACAUGUAAUUAAACUGCCUUAUUAUAAAAUUA